GGGUCAGUAGGUUGGUCGUGCCACCGGUACGUACUGGUCUCACUGAUUCCUCCUUCCUGAAGAACCGUAAUGCCAUUAAUCUGGUGUUGCGGGGAAACAGGACUGUUACUUUGAAAAAAUUAGAGUGUUUAAAGCAAGCUAACGCUUGAAUACAUUAGCAUGGAAUAAUGAAAUAGGACGAUCGAUCCCAUUUUGUUGGUUUCUAGGAUUGACGUA
rnacentral:rRNA from 1 species